rnacentral:lncRNA from 1 species
CGGCAUUGGAGCUGUUCUGCUUCUCUACGUGCUCUUCUGGGUGAAGGCAAGUUCUCAAAACCGGUUCUUGUUUUAAGUUUAUAAUAAAGACCGUUGCAUAUUCAAAAAAAUCUAUAGCUCCUCAUCAUAAUUAAAAAUACCCUUUUUUGUUUUUCCUUUGCAUCAUGCAGUUGGAUCUGUUCACGACUCUAAAGGCACUGUCUUUGCUGGGAGUGUUUCUGUUGUUCGUCGGACACAGAACACUGUCUCACCUCGCAGCAGCAUCGAACAAGCUGAAAUCUGCUUGAAGGAUAUAUAUUCAUCACUAUGAUGGAUCUUUUAUGGUUCCUGUGUCUCUAUGGAGCAGUUUCGUA